AACUUUCUGAAUCCGUGUAGAGAUUUCGUUAGACACCAACUCAUUAGGGCUGAGCAAAUUUCUAAGAUAAGUGAAGUU
rfam:Schistosoma mattheei strain Denwood, Zambia genome assembly, scaffold: SMTD_scaffold0003692